rnacentral:rRNA from 1 species
UAUUGUUUAAGAGCCGCGGUAUUCUGACCGUGCAAAGGUAGCAUAAUCAUUAGUUUUUUAAUUGAAAACUUGUAUGAAUGGUUGGACAAGAGAAAAACUGUCUCUAUUUUAAAAAUUGAAAUUAACUUUUAAGUGAAAAGGCUUAAAUUUUUCAAUGGGACGAUAAGACCCUAUAAAGCAUUUUGUUGGGGCGACAUGUAUAUAAGUUUUAACUGUAUAGGUUUAUAAUCAUUUAUAGGUGAAAUGAUCCCUUUUAAGGAUUAAAAGAUUAAGUUACUUUAGGGAUAACAGCGUUAUUUCUUUUGAGAGUUCUUAUCGAAAAAGAAGUUUGCGACCUCGAUGUUGAAUUAAAAUGUCUUUAUGGUGUAGCUGCUAUAAAAGGAAGGUCUGUUCGACCUUUAAAAUUUU